rnacentral:rRNA from 1 species
CGUGGGCAACCUGCCUGUAAGACUGGGAUAACUCCGGGAAACCGGGGCUAAUACCGGAUAGUACUUUGGUUCAUAGGAACCGAAGUGGAAAGGUGGCGCAAGCUACCACUUACAGAUGGGCCCGCGGUGCAUUAGCUAGUUGGUGAGGUAACGGCUCACCAAGGCAACGAUGCAUAGCCGACCUGAGAGGGUGAUCGGCCACACUGGGACUGAGACACGGCCCAGACUCCUACGGGAGGCAGCAGUAGGGAAUCUUCCGCAAUGGACGAAAGUCUGACGGAGCAACGCCGCGUGAACGAAGAAGGUUUUCGGAUCGUAAAGUUCUGUUGUUAGGGAAGAACAAGUACCGUUCGAAUAGGGCGGUACCUUGACGGUACCUAUCGAGGAAGCCCCGGCUAACUACGUGCCAGCAGCCGCGGUAAUACGUAGGGGGCAAGCGUUGUCCGGAAUUAUUGGGCGUAAAGCGCGCGUAGGCGGUUUCUUAAGUCUGAUGUGAAAUCUUGCGGCUCAACCGCAAGCGGUCAUUGGAAACUGGGGAACUUGAGUACAGAAGAGGAGAGCGGAAUUCCACGUGUAGCGGUGAAAUGCGUAGAGAUGUGGA